rnacentral:rRNA from 1 species
GACAUAGGUGGCGAACGUUAUCCGGAAUUAUUGGGCGUAAAGGAUGCGUAGAUGGUGUAGUAAGUUAUCGGUGGCAAAUCGAGGCUCAACCUCGUGGAAGUCGGUAAUACUGCUAUGCUAGAGGAUAGGAGAGGUUAACGGAACUCCCUGUGGAGCGGUGAAAUGCGUAGAUAUAGGGAAGAACACCAAUAAGGCGAAGGCAGUUAACUAUUCUAUUCCUGACAUUGAGGCAUGAAAGCGUGGGGAGCAAAACGG